CUAGGAUAUCCCCAAAGAAAAUGGAGAAUUACCUCACACUUCUAAUGAAUCGAGGAAUGAUGAAGAAACAAAUGAAACUGAGGAACCUAAACUUAAAACAUUACCUGGAAACUGUGAUGUUGAUAUUAAAAAGAAAAAUGUGAUUGAAACCACUCCUGUGGAGGAAAUCAAUAUAAAGAACUAUCACAGUAAUUUUUCUUCCUCAGCUGGCUCAAAGGAUAUAUCUCUGAGUCCUCCUCAGAAAUGCACUGGUCUUUUAUCUGCUGAUGCAUAUCAAAGAGCAGACUGGGGUAUAACUAGACAUAUAGAAGGUAAGAA